AUUCCAUUUGGUAUCAAUUUGCUAAGAGCAAAAGAAGAACAACCGAGAGCUAAGCUAUCUUUUCUCCAAACCCAAAACUGAGAGUAGAAGUGAGAGCGAGGGAGAGAAAUUUUGCUAGCUUCAACACCUGCUAAUCACAACCGAGAGAGAGUAAAGCAAGGAGAACUGGAGCGAGAAUCUGGUGCAAGAAAUUUGAGGAACCAAAGCAGAGAAUUAGAGCCGUCUGCAAUUAUCGAAUUCUAGAGGAAAAGAGGUAUUGGAAAUGAAAGCAAAAGUGACCAAAUGAGGUGAAAAAGGCGAAAUUUGAUCAAGGAACUCAACCCCUCGAUUUGAAAGAAAACGCGCCUCUGAGUCGUGUUUUCAUAGAAACACGUUUUCAAUUCUGCAUCGGUAUCAAAGAAAAUGCGCCUUCAAAAGAAAUCGCGUUUUCCAGCUUGUUCAGAAACCAGAAACGCGCCUUCAAAUACGCGACUAUAAGUUGCGUUUUGCCACAGAAUUGCGUUUUUUAUGCUGCAACUUUUGUGAAGAAACGCAACUUCACUACACGCAGCUUGAUGGUGCAUUUUGAUGAGUCGUGUUUUCUGAGCACGUUUUUUUUUAAGAAAAAUGCAGGUUCCUUGAUUCUCUUUUUUUUCCUUAUAUAUUUUCUUGUACCUUGAGUAGUUUAUUGUAUAUUUUAUAGAGGUACAUCACCAAAACAAAGGCUUGAAGUUACAGAUCACCAUUUUGUUUAUUAAACCUUUGUUAUCACUUUUGUUUCUCAUUUUUCAUUUUUAGGUUUAUACAACUAAUGGUUAUUCAAUGGAACUCAUGAAGUAUUGAAGAUACACGGAAAACGGAUCUUGAAGCUUCAUAUUCAAUCGCAACAAUAGGGGAGUAUUACUUUCUUUAUCUUGGUUUUCCUUUUUACACAUUGAGAACAAUGUGCAUGUUAAGUGUGGGGGGGGAGAAUUGAGAUUAUAUACAUUAUAUGUGAUUGACUUAUUAGUUGUAAAUAUUGGACUUGUGUUAAAAUUCAAAAUUUUUCUUGUCCAAAAUUGCAAAGU